AACGAACGCUGGCGGUAUGCCUAACCCUUGCAAGUCAAACAAGACCUUCAGCUUUUUUGGCCCACGGGAGCAUAACUCGGGGAAACCUGCCCCUUGUUCCGCAAUACGGUAAGAAUGGACUGCAAUUACCGGAUGAGGCCUUCGGACCAAACAUUUACCCCCAAGGGAAGACCCCCCCUAGGAUUAGCUCCUUGGUGAGGGAAAAGCUCCCCAAGGCAACAAUCCUUAGCUGGCUUGAGGGGGUGAUCCCCCACAUUGGACCUAAGACACGGCCCACACUCCUACGGGAGGAAACGGUGGGAAAUAUUGAAGAAGGGGUUAAAGCCUGAUCUGGCAAUGCCGCGGGAGUGAUGAAGGCCUAAGGCUUGUAAAGCUCUUUUACCCGGAAUGAUAAUGACCGUACUGGCAGAAUACGCCCCGCCUAAUUCGGUG
rnacentral:rRNA from 1 species